GAAGGGCUGAGGCUCACGGUUUCGGAGUAAGGGGAGCGGCUCGGCGAGCCGCCGCGCCUGGGUUAAGAGCAGCAGGAGGAACGUGGCUUCACGAGUUCGGCUCCUCGGCCAUCCACAGCCCGGGCCUCCGCCUCUGCUGACCUGGCGGCUGUAGAAGGCAGAAGAGGCCUGAAACCUGCAGCAGGAGCACCACCCUGCCCCGCGGCCCCGCGCGCCCUCCAGUGGCGUCAUCCCAUCCGUUUUGAUCUCGACUGGCGCGCCUACCCUCGGCAGCGGCACCCCUUGGGAGCGCAAUCGCGGCCAGACUCCGAGGACCCAUCUUGCGAAAGUUCUGCGAGGUCCUGACUUUAAGGGAACAGGGGUCGUACUUGGGCCAUGGCCGGAAGGGAGACCCAACAUCCAUGACGACGUCUACCCCCCAGCCUGCCCCUUCAGAGCCCAGUCUGUGCCUUGCGUCAAAGUCAAGCAAGGGCUCUUGUAGGGCACCGAGCCCCAGCCAAAAUCACCCUUUUCUUUCAGAUAGCCCCCACUUACCCCCAGAAACCUUACUCUCUCCCUCGGGAGCAGGUGGGAAGUGAAAGGCCGGGGGGGCUGUUUCUGCUCCGCCUGUCUGUACCUGUGGCCCUUGAGUGGAAAACCCCGCCGCUGGACCAAAGACCUGGAGGCUCCAGGAUUGCCCACUUGGGACCCUGACUAUGAAGGGUCAAGAUAGCCCAUUCUGCCCCAGCACUCAGAGCCCUAUUACCAAGGCCCCUACUCCAAGAAUCCACCAUCAAAACCGGGGCCCUGCCAGUGCCUUCCCAGUGUUCAGGCCUAGGGAAGAAUAGCCCCAUUAUGCCUGUUACUCCUGAUCCUUCUGCAGUCUCUCUCUUUGUGACCCCAUGGCCUUUGCUGCUAUGUCUGCCCUGGCCCCACAGAGUGCCAGGUCAGAGCCACCCUGGCCUACAUAGCAGGGCCGCGGUUCACAGGCUAAAACCUGGGCCUCCUGCCAGGCUUCUACUCCCAGCUGCACACCGCAACCUGAGACAUCUCAGCACAUUCUAGGAACUAGUAAUGGGGACGCUUCCGACUCGCUGGGGAAGGGAGAUGAGGGCCUCUAGCUCUCCAUGCCCAGUCUCUCAUCAUCAAAGUCAUUUAAGGCCCCAGCGACCCCAGGGUUCAGCAGCGUCCCGUUCAUCAUGAGCAGAGGGGUAACUGAAUAGAAUGGGAGGCAGGUGUGGCCUGAGCAGUUCCCAACCUGAAUUUUCCUUUGAGCUUGGUGAUCUGGGGCGGGGGAUUGAGAUAUUUUCCUUUCACUUGUGGGAAAUCUUGGGGCCCCACAAAUCACUAAGCUGAAGGGAAAAGUCAAGCUGGGAACUACUCAGGGCAAACCUGCCUCCCAUUUUAUUCAGUCACUCCUCUGCUCGCUGAGAUAGACACAUGCCUGAUUGCCUCCUUUGGAGAGGCUUAUCAGAAACAAAAUAAUGCAACCAUUUGUCUCUCACCUACCUGCGACCUGGAAGCCCCCUCCCCACUUCGAGUUGUCCCCGCCUUUCUGGACGGAACCAACGUACUUCUUACAUAUAUCGAUUGAUGUCUCAUGUCUCCCUAAAAUGUAUGAAAACAAACUGUGCCCUGACCACCUUGGGCACAUGUCGCCAGGACUCCCUGAGGCUGUGUCACGGGCACGCAUCUUCAACCUUGGCAAAAUAAAGUUUCUGAAUUAACUGA
rnacentral:lncRNA from 1 species